rnacentral:rRNA from 1 species
AUUGAACGCUGGCGGCAUGCCUAACACAUGCAAGUCGAACGGCAGCAUGGUCUAGCUUGCUAGACUGAUGGCGAGUGGCGAACGGGUGAGUAAUGCGCAGGAAUAUACCUUAAAGACUGGGACAACUUGGGGAAACUCAAGCUGACACCGGAUGAGCUCUGAGGAGGAAAGCUGGGGACCGAGAGGCCUGGCGCUUUAGGAAUAGCCUGCGUCCGAUUAGCUAGUUGGUGGGGUAAAGGCCUACCAAGGCUGUGAUCGGUAGCUGGUCUGAGAGGAUGGUCAGCCACACUGGGACUGAGACACGGCCCAGACUCCUACGGGAGGCAGCAGUGGGGAAUAUUGGACAAUGGGGGGAACCCUGAUCCAGCAAUGCCGCGUGUGUGAAGAAGGCCUGAGGGUUGUAAAGCACUUUCGGUGGGGAGGAGGAUUGAUUGGUUAAGAGCUGAUUGAUUGGACGUUACCCACAGAAGAAGCACCGGCUAACUCCGUGCCAGCAGCCGCCGUAA